rnacentral:rRNA from 1 species
UAGGGAAUCUUCCACAAUGGGCGAAAGCCUGAUGGAGCAACGCCGCGUGUGUGAUGAAGGCUUCCGGGUCGUAAAGCACUGUUGUAUGGGAAGAACAGCUAGAAUAGGAAAUGAUUUUAGUUUGACGGUACCAUACCAGAAAGGGACGGCUAAAUACGUGCCAA